rnacentral:rRNA from 1 species
UGGGGAAUAUUGCACAAUGGGCGCAAGCCUGAUGCAGCCAUGCCGCGUGUAUGAAGAAGGCCUUCGGGUUGUAAAGUACUUUCAGCGAGGAGGAAGGCGGUAAGGUUAAUAACCUUAUCGAUUGACGUUACUCGCAGAAGAAGCACCGGCUAACUCCGUGCCAGCAGCCGCGGUAAUACGGAGGGGGCAAGCGUUAAUCGGAAUUACUGGGCGUAAAGCGCACGCAGGCGGUCUGUCAAGUCGGAUGUGAAAUCCCCGGGCUCAACCUGGGAACUGCAUUCGAAACUGGCAGGCUAGAGUCUUGUAGAGGGGGGUAGAAUUCCAGGUGUAGCGGUGAAAUGCGUAGAGAUCUGGAGGAAUACCGGUGGCGAAGGCGGCCCCUUGGACAAAGACUGACGCUCAGGUGCGAAAGCGUGGGGAGCAAACA